rnacentral:rRNA from 1 species
CCGGUUAAGCAUGUCUAGUAUAAGCAAUUAUACAGCGAAACUGCGAAUGGCUCAUUAUAUAAGUUAUCGUUUAUUUGAUAGUACCUUACUACUUGGAUAACCGUGGUAAUUCUAGAGCUAAUACAUGCUAAAAAUCCCGACUUCGGAAGGGAUGUAUUUAUUAGAUUAAAAACCAAUGCCCUUCGGGGCUCACUGGUGAUUCAUGAUAACUCCUCGAAUCGCAUGGCCUUGCGCCGGCGAUGGUUCAUUCAAAUUUCUUCCCUAUCAACUUUCGAUGUUUGGGUAUUGGCCAAACAUGGUUGCAACGGGUAACGGAGGGUUAGGGCUCGACCCCGGAGAAGGAGCCUGAGAAACGGCUACUACAUCCAAGGAAGGCAGCAGGCGCGCAAAUUACCCAAUCCCGACACGGGGAGGUAGUGACAAUAAAUACUGAUACAGGGCUCUUUUGGGUCUUGUAAUUGGAAUGAGUACAAUUUAAAUCCCUUAACGAGGAACAAUUGGAGGGCAAGUCUGGUGCCAGCAGCCGCGGUAAUUCCAGCUCCAAUAGCGUAUAUUAAAGUUGUUGUGGUUAAAAAGCUCGUAGUUGAACCUUGGGCCUGGCUGGCCGGUCCGCCUCACCGCGUGUACUGGUCCGGCCGGGCCUUUCCCUCUGUGGAACCCCAUGCCCUUCACUGGGUGUGGCGGGGAAACAGGACUUUUACUGUGAAAAAAUUAGAGUGCUCCAGGCAGGCCUAUGCUCGAAUACAUUAGCAUGGAAUAAUAGAAUAGGACGUGUGGUUCUAUUUUGUUGGUUUCUAGGACCGCCGUAAUGAUUAAUAGGGACAGUCGGGGGCAUCAGUAUUCAAUUGUCAGAGGUGAAAUUCUUGGAUUUAUUGAAGACUAACUACUGCGAAAGCAUUUGCCAAGGAUGUUUUCAUUAAUCAGGAACGAAAGUUAGGGGAUCGAAGACGAUCAGAUACCGUCGUAGUCUUAACCAUAAACUAUGCCGACUAGGGAUCGGACGAUGUUAUUAUUUGACUCGUUCGGCACCUUACGAGAAAUCAAAGUGCUUGGGCUCCAGGGGGAGUAGUCGCCGGCG